UACAGAGGGUGCGAGCGUUAAUCGGAAUUACUGGGCGUAAAGCGUGCGUAGACGGUUAUUUAAGUCGGAUGUGAAAGCCCCGGGCUCAACCUGGGAAUUGCAUUCGAGACUGAAUAGCUAGGGUGCGGUAGAGGGAAGCGGAAUUUCCGGUGUAGCGGUUAAAUGCGUAGAUAUCGGAAGGAACAUCAGUGGCGAAAGCGGCUUCCUGGACCAGCACCGACGUUCAGGCACGAAAGCGUGGGGAGCAAACAGG
rnacentral:rRNA from 1 species